rnacentral:rRNA from 1 species
UGAGGAAUAUUGGGCAAUGGGCGCAAGCCUGACCCAGCAACGCCGCGUGGAGGAAGACGGCCUUCGGGUUGUAAACUCCUUUUACGGGGUAAGAGGAAGGACGGUACCCCGAGAAUAAGUCACGGCUAACUACGUGCCAGCAGCCGCGGUAAUACGUAGGUGACAAGCGUUAUCCGGAAUUACUGGGCGUAAAGCGCACGCAGGCGGCGCGGUAAGUCUGAUGUGAAAUCUCCUGGCUUAACUGGGAGGGGUCAUUGGAAACUGCCGAGCUUGAGGCGAUGAGAGGGGGUGUAGAAUUCCCGGUGUAGUGGUGGAAUGCGUAGAUAUCGGGAGGAAUACCAGUGGCGAAAGCGACACCCUGGCAUUAGCCUGACGCUCAUGUGCGAAGGCGUGGGGAGCGAACGGGAUUAGAUACCCCGGUAGUCCACGCGGUAAACGAUGAAUACUAGGUGUGGGUGGAGUGAAAUCCAUCUGUGCCGAAGCAAACGCGCUAAGUAUUCCGCCUGGGGAGUAC